rnacentral:tRNA from 1 species
GGGAACGUGGUGGAAUUGGUAGACACGACAGACUUAAAAUCUGUUGUCUAGUGAUAGACGUGAGGGUUCAAGUCCCUCCGUUCCCA